rnacentral:rRNA from 1 species
CAUGCAGUCGAGGGGCAGCAUGGUCUUAGCUUGCUAAGGCCGAUGGCGACCGGCGCACGGGUGAGUAACGCGUAUCCAACCUGCCUUACACUCUUGGACAGCCUUCUGAAAGGGAGAUUAAUACAAGAUGUUAUCAUGAGUAAGCAUUUUCACAUGAUUAAAGGUUUACCGGUGUAAGAUGGGGAUGCGUUCCAUUAGAUAGUAGGCGGGGUAACGGCCCACCUAGUCUUCGAUGGAUAGGGGUUCUGAGAGGAAGGUCCCCCACAUUGGAACUGAGACACGGUCCAAACUCCUACGGGAGGCAGCAGUGAGGAAUAUUGGUCAAUGGACGAGAGUCUGAACCAGCCAAGUAGCGUGAAGGAUGAAGGUUCUAUGGAUUGUAAACUUCUUUUAUACGGGAAUAAACGGAUCCACGUGUGGAUUUUUGCAUGUACCGUAUGAAUAAGGAUCGGCUAACUCCGUGCCAGCAGCCGCGGUAAUACGGAGGAUCCGAGCGUUAUCCGGAUUUAUUGGGUUUAAAGGGAGCGUAGAUGGGUUGUUAAGUCAGUUGUGAAAGUUUGCGGCUCAACCGUAAAAUUGCAAUUGAUACUGGCAGUCUUGAGUACAGUUGAGGUAGGCGGAAUU